rnacentral:rRNA from 1 species
CAUACCUAUUCGAAGGGAUAGGGUCGGUUUGGCCGGAUUUCACACGGGUGUUGCAUGGCUGUCGUCAGCUCGUGUCGUGAGAUGUUGGGUUAAGUCCUGCAACGAGCGCAACCCUCAUCCUUAGUUACCAUCAGGUUAUGCUGGGGACUUUAAGGAAACUGCCAGUGAUAAACUGGAGGAAGGUGGGGAUGAUGUCAAGUCAUCAUGGCCCUUAUGGAGUGGGCUACACACGUGCUACAAUGGUGAUUACAAUGGGCUGCAAGGUCGCAAGGCUGAGCUAAUCCUAAAAAAUCAUCUCAGUUCGGAUUGUUCUCUGCAACUCGAGAGCAUGAAGUUGGAAUCGCUAGUAAUCGUGGAUCAGCAUGCCACGGUGAAUACGUUCUCGGGUCUUGUACACACUGCCCGUCACGCCAUGGGAAUUGGUUUCACUCGAAGCU